rnacentral:snRNA from 13 species
AUCUUUAAAUGGCUCCGGGACCAGGGUAAUCACGGACGCCCUGGCCCCACGUGCAGGCUUGCUUCUGCACUCUGGAGGGUUGAGGCCUGCAACGAUCUCUAAUCGGGCUGGCUUAAGUGUGUAAGUUUUGCCAGCGGGGGGGGGUCUUCAAACCAUCCCUAG